GGUGGAUUGAAGCGGAUACAAUUCACACAGAACAGCUAUGACAUGAUACGAUCGAGCUCGUACCCGGGAUCUCUAGAGAUGUGCAGCAGCCGCGUAUACGGAGGGUGCAAGCGUAUCGAUUACUGGCGUAAAGCGCACGCAGCGGUCUGUCAGUCGGAUGUGAAAUCCCCGGGCUAACCUGGGAACUGCAUUCGAAACUGGCAGGCUAGAGUCUGUAGAGGGGGGUAGAAUUCCAGGUGUAGCGGUGAAAUGCGUAGAGAUCUGGAGGAAUACCGGUGGCGAAGGCGGCCCCCUGGACAAAGACUGACGCUCAGGUGCGAAAGCGUGGGGAGCAAACAGGAUUAGAUACCCUGGUAGUCCACGCCGUAAACGAUGUCGACUUGGAGGUUGUGCCCUUGAGGCGUGGCUUCCGGAGCUAACGCGUUAAGUCGACCGCCUGGGGAGUACGGCCGCAAGGUUAAAACUCAAAUGAAUUGACGGGGGCCCGCACAAGCGGUGGAGCAUGUGGUUUAAUUCGAUGCAACGCGAAGAACCUUACCUACUCUUGACAUCCAGCGAAUUCGGUAGAGAUACCUUAGUGCCUUCGGGAACGCUGAGACAGGUGCUGCAUGGCUGUCGUCAGCUCGUGUUGUGAAAUGUUGGGUUAAGUCCCGCAACGAGCGCAACCCUUAUCCUUUGUUGCCAGCGGUCCGGCCGGGAACUCAAAGGAGACUGCCAGUGAUAAACUGGAGGAAGGUGGGGAUGACGUCAAGUCAUCAUGGCCCUUACGAGUAGGGCUACACACGUGCUACAAUGGCGCAUACAAAGAGAAGCGACCUCGCGAGAGCAAGCGGACCUCAUAAAGUGCGUCGUAGUCCGGAUUGGAGUCUGCAACUCGACUCCAUGAAGUCGGAAUCGCUAGUAAUCGUAGAUCAGAAUGCUACGGUGAAUACGUUCCCGGGCCUUGUACACACCGCCCGUCACACCAUGGGAGUGGGUUGCAAAAGAAGUAGGUAGCUUAACCUUCGGGAGGGCGCUUACCACUUUGUGAUUCAUGACUGGGGUGAAGUCGUAACAAGGUAACCGUAGGGGAACCUGCGGCUGGAUCACCUCCU
rnacentral:rRNA from 1 species